rnacentral:rRNA from 1 species
UACGUAGGUGGCAAGCGUUGUCCGGAUUUACUGGGUGUAAAGGGCGUGCAGCCGGGCUGACAAGUCAGAUGUGAAAUCCCGCGGCUCAACCGCGGAACUGCAUUUGAAACUGUCAGUCUUGAGUACCGGAGAGGUCAUCGGAAUUCCUUGUGUAGCGGUGAAAUGCGUAGAUAUAAGGAAGAACACCAGUGGCGAGGGCGGAUGACUGGACGGCAACUGACGGUGAGGCGCGAAAGCGUGGGGAGCAAACAGG